CGUGAGUGAAGAAGGCCUUAGGGUUGUAAAGCUCUUUCAGAUGCGAAGAUAAUGACGGUAACAUCAGAAGAAGCCCCGGCUAAAUUCGUGCCAGCAGCCGCGGUAAUACGAAUGGGGCGAGCGUUGUUCGGAAUCACUGGGCGUAAAGAGUAUGUAGGCGGGUUUGUCAGUCAGAAGUGAAAUCCCGGGGCUCAACCUCGGAAUUGCUUUUGAUACUGCAAACCUAGUGUCCCGGAGGGGUUGACGGAAUUCCUAGUGUAGAGGUGAAAUUCGCAGAUAUUAGGAGGAACACCAGUGGCGUAGGCGGUCAACUGGACGGGUACAGACGCUGAGAUACGAAAGCGUGGGGAGCAAACAGGAUUAGAUACCCUGGUAGUCCACGCCGUAAACGAUGUGUGCUAGUUGUCGGGAGUCUUAGACUUUCGGUGACGCAGCUAACGCAUUAAGCAC
rnacentral:rRNA from 2 species